UUACACAUGCAGUCGAACGGCAGCACGGGUGCCUGACUUUGGUGGCGAGUGGCGAACGGGUGAGUAAUACAUCGGAACAUGUCCUGUAGUGGGGGAUAGCCCGGCGAAAGCCGGAUUAAUACCGCAUACGAUCUACGGAUGAAAGCGGGGGCCUUCGGGCCUCGCGSAAUAGGGUUGGCCRAUGGCUGAUUAGCUAGUUGGUGGGAAAAGGCUAACAAGGKGGCGACAGUAGCUGGUCUGAAASGMSACCAGCCAYCUGGACUGAGAKGGGCCAMACUCUACGGAGGRGCGUGGGGAAUUUGCACAAUGGGCGAGGKUURUCCSGSAUGCCGCGGGUGUAAACAYGCCUCGGGUUAAAA
rnacentral:rRNA from 1 species